rnacentral:rRNA from 1 species
GACGGGGGGGGCAAGUGUUCUUCGGAAUGACUGGGCGUCAAGGGCACGUAGGGGGUGAAUCGGGUUGAAAGUGAAAGUCGCCAAAAAGUGGCGGAAUGCUCUCGAAACCAAUUCACUUGAGUGGGACAGAGGAGAGUGGAAUUUCGUGUGUAGGGGUGAAAUCCGUAGAUCUACGAAGGAAGGCCAAAAGCGAAGGCAGCUCUCUGGGUCCCUACCGACGCUGGGGUGCGAAAGCAUGGGGAGCGAACAGG